rnacentral:other from 1 species
UAUCUGGAGUGUGCGAAAAAUCCUGUUAAUUUUGAACCUACAUUUACUUUUAAUGGGAUUCCUAUAUUCGUAGGUGGAUGUCAAGCCUCGUUUCGGUGGAAGGCAGAAGUCUAUAUGCGGUUGCCCACCUAGCUUUGCUAGGAGUCAAAAGGCAGGAAACGGCACUCUGGAUAU